GAGACAAUCUGCGGUUGCUUCACCGGUCCACAGACCGAUGAGGGUGUGCAGCUGCAGAUUAUUAAAGCUCUGCUGACUGUAAUGACAAGCCAGCAUUUGGAGGUACACGAGAGUACGGUACUGUUAAACAAUUCGUACUGUUUACAACGUUUACUUGGCGUCGCGCAACCUGGUGAAUCAAACAACAGCCCGUGCGACUCUCACGCAGAUGAUCAACGUGAUCUUCGCGCGAAUGGAGACUCAGGCGGAGGAAGAGAUCGUGAGGCUUGAUGGGGAAUAUCAGCAGGAGGGUUCUGUCAUAGCAAACGGCGAAACUGAAGCCAAGUAAAAUCCGUGGUGCCAUUGGAAGAGGAAGUCAGUUUGGAGAACGGCAGUCCGGAGAACAACGGUGACGAGGCAGCCGCUGAGAAUGACAACAUGGUAACUGCAAAAUUCACCCAUGUGCUGCAAAAUGAUGCAGUCCUGGUGUUUCACGCUCUCUGCAAGCUCUCUAUGAAACCGCUGCCGGACGGCACUCCCGAUCCAAUAUCGCACGAGCUCCGUUCCAAGAUCUUGUCGCUUCAGUUACUUCUGGGAAUCUUGCAGAAUGCCGGUCCAAUAUUGCGCUUUAACGAGAUGUUUGUUAUCGCCAUUAAACAGUACUUGUGUGUCGUGCUGUCGAAGAAUGGCGUGUCUUUGGUGCCGGAAGUGUUCAAGCUGUCGUUAGCGCUGUUCCUGGCGCUGCUCGCCCGUUUCAAGAUGCACCUCAAGAUGCAGAUUGAGGUGUUCUUUAAGGAGAUCUUUAUGAACAUCCUCGAGACCUGUAGCUGCUCUUUUGAGCACAAGUGGAUGGUCAUACAUGCGCUUACGAGGAUCUGUGCGGAUGCCCAGAGCGUCGUCGACAUCUACGUUAACUACGAUUGCGAUCUCAGCAGCGAAUCUCUUCGAGAAGCUCGUCAAUGAUCUCUCUAAGAUUGCUCAAGGUUGUCAAGCUUUGGAGCUAGGUGCAUCGCCAAAUCAGGUGCGUUAUAAGAAAGAGGAUGACAGGAUAGAUGUAUUAUUUGGAACAGAGAAUGUUCUUCGAAACAAGCAAUAUAAAGUUUUGUUUGUAAUAUUAGUGUCUUGCUCUUUCAGGAGAAAUCCAUGCGCAUUCGUGGUCUCGAGUGCCUCGUGUCUAUUCUGAAAUGCAUGGUGGAGUGGAGUCGGGAUCUUUACGUAAAUCCCAGCGUGCCAGCGGAUCAGCAACCAUUGUCACAUCCACCGGAUACGAUGCCGGAGACCCCGCUACCGCGUUAUGGCAGCGCUGGCAGCCUCUCGUCAGCCAACUCCAGUCUCCAGUCUGACUGGCAACAAGGAGGUGCCGGACUCGCCGGAGCAGUAUGAAGUACAGAAACAAAAGGAGGAAUUUUUCAAGAAUCCUGCAUUUCGAGUAGAUGGAUUAAAAAUUUAUCCAACACUGAUAGGACUGAUACGUGGCACCGGCUUGUACUGAAUUAUGGAAAACUGGGAGAUAUAAAAGCUAU